GUAAUAGCAUUUAAUAGGCAAUGUUAGAAAGUAACUUGUGAUAUAGAUUUUAGUGGUUGGAUGAUUUAAAUCAUACUCUCUCUUCAACAGUCCAGAAGAAAAGAUUAGACAGUUAGAGAAGAAAGUAAAUGAGUUGGUGGAAGAAAGCUGUAUUGCCAACAGUUGUGGAGACUUAAAACUGGCCUUAGAGAAGGCAAAAGAUGCAGGAAGAAAAGAGAGAGUCCUGGUGAGACAACGAGAGCAAGUCACAAGUCCAGAAAAUAUCAACUUGGACCUAACCUACUCCGUUCUUUUCAACUUGGCAAGUCAGUAUUCUGCUAAUGAAAUGUAUGCAGAAGCACUAAACACAUACCAAGUUAUAGUGAAAAAUAAGAUGUUUAGCAAUGCAGG
rnacentral:lncRNA from 1 species